UCCCUGGUGGCUCAGACGGUAAAGCAUCUGCCUGGAAUGCAGGAGACCCAGGUUCAAUCCCUGGGUUGGGAA
rnacentral:tRNA from 1 species